UACGUAGGGGGCGAGCGUUGUCCGGAUUUAUUGGGCGUAAAGAGCGUGUAGGCGGCCAGGUAGGUCUGCUGUGAAAACUCGAGGCUCAACCUCGAGAUGUCGGCGGAAACCAUCUGGCUAGAGUCCGGAAGAGGAGAGUGGAAUUCCUGGUGUAGCGGUGAAAUGCGCAGAUAUCAGGAAGAACACCCGUGGCGAAGGCGGCUCUCUGGGACGGUACUGACGCUGAGACGCGAAAGCGUGGUGAGCUAACAGG
rnacentral:rRNA from 1 species